AGAGUUUGAUCAUGGCUCAGGACGAACGCUGGCGGCGUGCUUAACACAUGCAAGUCGAGCGGUAAGGCACUUCGGUGUACACGAGCGGCGAACGGGUGAGUAACACGUGAGUAAUCUGCCCUUCACUCUGGGAUAAGCACUCGAAAGGGUGUCUAAUACCGGAUACGACACAGACUCGCAUGGGUUCUGUGUGGAAACUUUUGUGGGUGGGGGAUGUGCUCGCGGCCUAUCAGCUUGUUGGUGGGGUAAUGGCCUACCAAGGCUUCGACGGGUAGCCGGCCUGAGAGGGUGACCGGCCACACUGGGACUGAGACACGGCCCAGACUCCUACGGGAGGCAGCAGUGGGGAAUAUUGGACAAUGGGCGGAAGCCUGAUCCAGCAACGCCGCGUGAGGGAUGACGGCCUUCGGGUUGUAAACCCCUUUCAGUAUUGACGAAGCGCCCGUGUGGGUGGUGACGGUAGGUACAGAAGAAGCACCGGCCAACUACGUGCCAGCAGCCGCGGUAAUACGUAGGGUGCGAGCGUUGUCCGGAAUUAUUGGGCGUAAAGGGCUCGUAGGCGGUUUGUCGCGUCGGGAGUGAAAACACUGGGCUUAACCGAGUGCUUGCCUUCGAUACGGGCAGACUUGAGGCAUUGAGGGGAGAACGGAAUUCCUGGUGUAGCGGUGAAAUGCGCAGAUAUCAGGAGGAACACCGGUGGCGAAGGCGGUUCUCUGGCAAUGUUCUGACGCUGAGGAGCGAAAGUGUGGGGAGCGAACAGGAUUAGAUACCCUGGUAGUCCACACCGUAAACGUUGGGCGCUAGGUGUGGGGCCUAUUCCAUGGGUUCCGUG
rnacentral:rRNA from 1 species